rnacentral:snoRNA from 8 species
GUAGGGAUUAUUGAAAAUUUAAGUAGCAUAAUCAAUGUAAUAUUAUUUUGUCCUCUAAGAAGUACUGCACAU